AUGAUGCUGGCGGCCUUGGCAUCCUACCAGUCUACUUGUACCUCCCUUGGGAGGUCAAGAUGGAUGCUGGCAUGCCCGACACCGUUCAGGGUCAUGAGGAGCUUGAUGCUGCUUUGUUUGUGGGAGCUUGAAGAGUUCACAAAGGUGAAAAUAGUGAAGAUAGAACUUGGGAAAUAUGAGAUAGAUACCUGCAUCCCUACAGAUCUGAAGCGGCCCAUCCUUAAUGGUUUCUACCGCCAUAUCUACCAACCCCGACCGGAUUUAUCAUUGCAUGGGAUCUCUCCUUAUCCGACGCUCACUCUGACGCAUCUGGCAUAG
rnacentral:rRNA from 1 species